rnacentral:rRNA from 1 species
GACGAACGCUGGCGGCGUGCCUAAUACAUGCAAGUUGAGCGAUGAAGAUUGGUGCUUGCACCAAUUUGAAGAGCAGCGAACGGGUGAGUAACGCGUGGGGAAUCUGCCUUUGAGCGGGGGACAACAUUUGGAAACGAAUGCUAAUACCGCAUAACAACUUUAAACAUAAGUUUUAAGUUUGAAAGAUGCAAUUGCAUCACUCAAAGAUGAUCCCGCGUUGUAUUAGCUAGUUGGUGAGGUAAAGGCUCACCAAGGCGAUGAUACAUAGCCGACCUGAGAGGGUGAUCGGCCACAUUGGGAAUGAGACACGGCCCAAACCCCUACGGGAGGCAGCAGUAGGGAAUCUUCGGCAAUGGACGAAAGUCUGACCGAGCAACGCCGCGUGAGUGAAGAAGGUUUUCGGAUCGUAAAACUCUGUUGGUAGAGAAGAACGUUGGUGAGAGUGGAAAGCUCAUCAAGUGACGGUAACUACCCAGAAAGGGACGGCUAACUACGUG